UAAUGCAAUACGUAGAUAUCCCCUCUGUUCUCUUACAGACAGUCUGAUAUAGAUGCACAGAUUGGUGAGCGCAUUGUGACUUGACCUGAAUGGAGCAUGGACCUUCACGCUCGGGUGCUUUGGAACCAUGGCCAGAUGCACAGCUUGGAUUAUCUGAUAUCCUCCUAUGCUGCUGGCAAUUGGUGAAGAAUCAACGUGUUCCUCACCAAGCGAACAAAAACAAGCCUUCUCCAACUCGAAUGCUUUCCUCCUGUCUGCCUGAGCCCGGUAAGGAGUCUCUUCAUCCUUCAGGACUCAGUCACUGCCUCCAGGACACUUUUCCUGACCUUGCCCUCCAGGCUGGGUUAAAUGUCCUCUCAGUCAUUACUUGUGCAUAGCCUAGCCCUGUGCCACAACAUCGCUUUAUACCACUCAUCCCUCCUAUGCCUGUGGCUAUGAUUCCUUGUAUUUAAACCCUAUAACAAAUGUCUGGCACCCAGUUAUAAUUCAAAAAAUGUUUUUAAUUAAUGAAUUAGUACAAAGGAAAGCUAUGACAAACCUCAACAACGUAUUAUAAGGCAGAGACGUCACUUUCCCAAUAGAGGUCCGUAUGGUCAAAGCUAUGGUUUUUCCAGUAGUCAUGUAUGGAUGUGAGAGUUGGAUCAUACAGAAA